AGGCGGAACAGCCUUCUUAAUCAGGUCCUGCUACGUAUGAUGAUGACUAAGCUCCAAGUGUAGCAGACAAAACUGGUUUGAGAAUUUUAAAGCUCUCACCAUGCAGCUUCUGGAACAUCAGUGGCAACUAUAGUAAAACAACAGAAACAGUAUUUCAUUUUCUUUUUAAAAUAAAUAUAAGGGAAACCAAGUAUUUAAUAUACAGAUGUGAAAGGCAAAUACUGGAUGUAGACAAUGCCUCUUUUCAAUUCUAAUGUAGAAAAAUGGGAGAAACAUACUACUACCUGAGGUGAUUCCUCUAGACUAAGAUAUUCUCCUGAAGUAGCUAUGUUUGCUGCAGUGCCACUAACGAAAAAUGUGCUAUCAAUUAGAAGCAAUUCCACAGGACUAAGAGCAAAAACAUCAGAGGAAGAAAAAGAAAGAGCAAAAGCUCUCAAGAAAGAAAAAAGAAAUCAAUUCAAGCUAUACUGACAGCUGCAAAGUUACUGCAGCGCAAAAGAAAAAGGACCUGGAAAUUCUUCAGAAAUGAUGAGCCAGAAAAUAAAUGGAAAAAACACAGAAUGGUUUUCCAACAUUCAACCUCACAAACAUAAAAUGUUUCAGUUCUCAACAUGGCUGUCUGAUUACUCAAUUAAUGUAUCAUAAGAUUAAAAAUAUGAAAACACCA